rnacentral:rRNA from 1 species
CCUACGGGUGGCAGCAGUGAGGAAUAUUGGUCAAUGGACGAGAGUCUGAACCAGCCAAGUAGCGUGAAGGAUGACUGCCCUAUGGGUUGUAAACUUCUUUUAUAAGGGAAUAAAACGAGGCACGUGUGCCUGUUUGCAUGUACUUUAUGAAUAAGGAUCGGCUAACUCCGUGCCAGCAGCCGCGGUAAUACGGAGGAUCCGAGCGUUAUCCGGAUUUAUUGGGUUUAAAGGGAGCGUAGAUGGGUUGUUAAGUCAGUUGUGAAAGUUUGCGGCUCAACCGUAAAAUUGCAAUUGAUACUGGCAGUCUUGAGUACAGGUGAGGUAGGCGGAAUUCGUGGUGUAGCGGUGAAAUGCUUAGAUAUCACGAAGAACCCCGAUUGCGAAGGCAGCUUACUAAACUGUGACUGACAUUGAUGCUCGAAAGUGUGGGUAUCAAACAGGAUUAGAUACCCUGGUAGUC